AUGGACAUUAGUGUCUUCGGCCCCCUAAAGGGGUACAUAAACAGUGCGGCGGACAGGUGGAUGAGGAGCCACCCAGGGAUAAACAUCUCAAUUUAUGAUGUGCCCUCCAUCGUUGCUGAAGCCUUACCAAAGGCUGCAACAGUGAACAACAUCACCUCCGGGUUCUCAAGUCCAGGGAUCUGGCCUUUUAACCCCUCUGCGUUUGAAGAAAAGGACUUCGCCAGAGCCUAUUCCACAGACCGUCCUCCUCCCCAGGCUUCGGGAACAGUUCAUCAGAAGCAACAGAGGAUUAAACAGAGUUCAUAAUACAUAAAUAAAUUGUCCCAUAAGUCCAAGUUCAUAAAAAAAAGACCAUAGGGUAGUGGACGGCAGAGUAGCUGCUAGACCACCAGGCUACAACUCUCACAUCAGGGUAUUUAACAAGGAUCAGGAGGGUGGAUUUAUAAAAAAAAAUUCUAUUUAAAAGUGUGAAUUCUUUAAAUGUGUCGUUUGGCAG
ensembl:lncRNA